rnacentral:rRNA from 1 species
UAACGGCGUCGAGCGGCGGACGGGUGAGUAAUGCCUAGGAAAUUGCCCUGAUGUGGGGGAUAACCAUUGGAAACGAUGGCUAAUACCGCAUGAUGCCUACGGGCCAAAGAGGGGGACCUUCGGGCCUCUCGCGUCAGGAUAUGCCUAGGUGGGAUUAGCUAGUUGGUGAGGUAAGGGCUCACCAAGGCGACGAUCCCUAGCUGGUCUGAGAGGAUGAUCAGCCACACUGGAACUGAGACACGGUCCAGACUCCUACGGGAGGCAGCAGUGGGGAAUAUUGCACAAUGGGCGCAAGCCUGAUGCA